rnacentral:rRNA from 1 species
UACAGAGGGUGCAAGCGUUAAUCGGAAUUACUGGGCGUAAAGCGUGCGUAGACGGUUGCGUAAGUCAGAUGUGAAAGCCCCGGGCUCAACCUGGGAAUUGCAUUCGAGACUGAAUAGCUAGGGUACGGUAGAGGGAAGCGGAAUUUCCGGUGUAGCGGUGAAAUGCGUAGAUAUCGGAAGGAACAUCAGUGGCGAAAGCGGCUUCCUGGACCAGUACCGACGUUCAGGCACGAAAGCGUGGGGAGCAAACAGG